rnacentral:misc_RNA from 1 species
AACCAUAGAAACCUGCGGAGUACCUGCGGAAGGAUCAUUACAGAGUUGCAAAACUCCCACAAACCAUCGCGAAUCUUACCCGUACGGUUGCCUCGGCGCUGGCGGUCCGGAAGGCCCUCGGGCCCCCGGACCCUCGGGUCCCCCGCUCGCGGGGGGCUGCCCGCCGGAGUGCCGAAACCAAACUCUUGAUAUUUUAUGUCUCUCUGAGUAAACUUUUAAAUAAGUCAGAACUUUCAACAA